AUUCUUUGCCCCAGGGGUACAGGUCUGUGAACCAGCAGGCUUACGCAGUUCACAGCACUCACCAUAGCACAUACCCUCCCCAAUGUCCAUAAUGCAACCAUCCUCUCCAGGAAAUAAGUUCAUUUCUUACAGACAUCUCCUCCUUUUUUGGGCCAGCAGCUUCUGAGGCCUGUUGUUCUCAAGGCCCAGGAAGGAGCACAAGAGAACAAGAUCACUUGUACCAUUCUAUUGCAUUCUGUUUGCUAAUAUCUCAUUGGCCAAAAUAAGUCACAUGGCCAAGCCCAAAUCAAGGUAUGGUGACCUACACUCACAUGCUAUAUCACAGGUGUGAAGUGUACUGUUAUUUUAGGGGAUGAAAGGAUUGACAUGAAUAAUAUAAUCCUUUGAAUAAGGUCUUUAGGUGACUUGCUUCCUCUUUGAAGAAAAAAAAACAACAACAACAACCAAGAGCAGCAAAAUAGUUUAUAAAAAUUGACAAUAGAUCUGAGUAUAAAGAUGAAUUACUUUUGCUAAAACCUCUAGGUAACUCUUUUCCUCCAGAAUCAGGUUGGAAUUUAUACAUGAAACUUGAAAUCUUGGCAGUAUAUAGAUCUACUGGUCCUUGUUUUAUCUUUUAUAUUAUUUAGAAAUGUUUAAUUUCUCAGUAUAUGUAGAUAUUUGGUUUGCACAGGCUUAUUUGUUACUGAUUUCUUGCUGAAUUGCAUUUUCAGUCAGUAAACAUGAUGUCUAUUACACCACUUCUUUAAAAAUUGUUAAGACUUGGUUUCUGAACAAGCAUGUGGUUGAUAUUUGUAAAUGUUUCAUUUGUGCUUGAGAAGAAUGUAUGUUCUGUAAUUGUU
rnacentral:lncRNA from 1 species